AUGGGGGGUGCCGGGCCGGGGUGGGGGCCCGCGGGCCUGUGGGUGACGCUGGCGCUGGCCUGGAGCGCGGGAGUGGCUCCGGCCGCCGAGGAGCCGGCCGAGCCUUGCGGAGCGGAUGGGUGGGCGCAGGACACCGUCCCGCCGGGCGCGGCCUUCGUCGCCGCCGCGUCGUACCGCGGGCCCGGCAACAACGACACGCGGAGCAACAAGGCGCUGCCCAUCCUGCUGUGGUGGAGCGGGAGCCUCUUCCCGCACUUCCCCGGCGACACGGAGCGCAUCGAUUGCCCCCGCGGCUCCUGCCUCGUCACCCGGAGCCGGCGGGUGGCGCGGCACCGCCGCACCAAGGCGCUCAUCUUCUACGGCACCGACUUCAGAGCGUACGAGGCGCCGCUGCCCCGCCUGCCCCACCAGACCUGGGCGCUCUUCCACGAGGAGUCCCCCAUGAACAACUACGUGCUCUCGCACUCGCCCGGCAUCCGGCUCUUCAACUACACGGCCACCUUCCGCCGGGAGUCCGACUACCCGCUCACGCUGCAGUGGCUGCCCGGCACCGCGUACCUGCGGGCCCCGGCCGUGGCCCUGGCCGAGAAGGACGCGUGGCGGCGGAAGGGCUACGGCCCGGUGCUGUACAUGCAGUCCCACUGCGAUGUGCCCUCGGACAGGGACCGCUACGUGCGGGAGCUCAUGAAGUACAUCCAGGUUGACUCCUAUGGUAAAUGCCUGCAUAACCGUGAGCUCCCCAGUGAGCGACUGAGAGACACUUCUACAGCCACUACAGAAGAUUCUGAAUUUAUGACUUUUAUUGCCAGGUACAAGUUUCAUCUGGCCUUGGAGAAUGCCAUAUGUGACGACUACAUGACAGAGAAGCUGUGGCGUCCCAUGCACUUGGGUGCUGUCCCAGUGUACCGAGGCUCCCCAGCUGUGCGGGACUGGAUGCCAAACAACCUCUCCAUCAUCCUUAUAGAUGAUUUUGACAGCCCCCAAGAACUGGCAAAGUAUCUUGAUUUCCUGGACAAGAAUGGAGAAGAAUAUUUGAAGUAUCUAGAGUAUAAAAAUGCUGGUGGAAUCAAAAACCAGUUCUUGCUAGAGAGCUUGGAGAGGCGGGAGUGGGGUGUGAAUGACAUGACUCUGCCCAAUUACCUGAACGGCUUCGAGUGUUUUAUCUGUGACAAGGAGAACACCCGCGUCAAAGAGGAGCAGGAACACAAGAAGUCUCGUGGAAAAAUUCCAGCUCCCAGACCUCAUAUAGCUCAGUUCAAGCACAUGGGAUGUCCUAUGCCAACCCCUGGGUUUGGAAGUGUUGAAGACCUCUCUGGUGGAGACAGUUGGAAAGAAAUGUGGCUGCAGGAUUAUUGGCAAAGCCUUGAUCAGGGUGAGGCCCUCACUGCUAUGAUUCAUCGCAAUGAGUCUCAUCAGGGAAGAUUUUGGGACUACAUGCAUGAGAUUUUUCUGAAGAGGACAAGGCAACACUGACCCAUCUUUGUGAGAGCUUGAUUUGAAAAUAACAUUGAAAGUUAAGACUGUGAAUUCUUACUCACUUCAAAUGUUUGCCUUGAAAAAACAAAACCAAAAAAACUGUCACAGAGACAAUGUUUUCUGGUGCACAAAAGACUUGUUUGUAUCCCAGCCCUUGGAAUUCUCCUGUGCCUUCUGGAUUGCCUGCCUUUUUCAGCUGGGGACAUAAGCACUCCAGAUGAGUUGAGAACUUCCAGGACCUGGGGAAGAAACUUCUGGGAACAAGAGGUUUUUAUUUUCCACCACUGAGUAUGAGGCUGUGGGAACAAUGCUGCUUCAUUUUGGAAGCAGCAGUUUCAGUAUCUUCUUGGAAGAACAGUAGGAACAAUGCAGGGGAGAUCCAGCUGUAAUGUAACAGAGAGAAACGAGGGGAUGAGAGUUUAAAGCACCAAAAAGAGUUUCCAUACAGCUGUAGAAGAACUUGAGAAGAGUCAAGUGAGAGGGACCUCAUCCAUGUCUAUAGUAUCUGAGGGGAGAGCGUCAAAGGGAUGGAGGGAUCCAGGCUCUUCUCUGUGGUGCUGCACAAUAGGACAAGAGGCAACAGAGAGAGACUGAUGCUCAGGAAGCUCCAUCUGAACAUGAGUGACAACUUUACUGUGCAGGUGACCGAGCACCGGAACAGCCCAGAGAGGCUGUGGAGUUUCCCUCGUUGGAAAUACUCCAUAAAUGUGGAUGCAAUCCUGUGCAAUGUGCUCUGGGACCCUGCUUGAACACAGAUGACCCACUGUGAUCCUUUCCAGCCUCGCCCAUUCUGUGAUUCCUUUAAUUCCAUCUGAAUUACUUGAGACAAUCACAACUUCUGCUACUCUGGCUGAAGUGUGUUUGCUUCCCUUGCUAUUUUCGCCGCAGAAGGAGUUUUUGGUAGGAGAUUGUCGGGGCAGCACGCAGUGGUUCCGCCCGAUGCGGAAGCUGAGGGGAGUUACUCGAUUUCCAUGGCCUAUGCUUGGCCUGACGGGCAGGAUGGGGCGGGGCAGG